rnacentral:rRNA from 1 species
AUGGCGCUGCUUUGGUCCUUGUGGAAAAACAGGAACGCUUGUUUUAGAAAUAUCUUUCUGUAUGAUCCAAUUGUGCAGAUGGCUCACUGGUUAUCAUGCUGGGUUGGACUUCGGAGAGCAGGUUUGCGCGAUAGACAGCGCCAAGGGGCAAAGCGGCUGCUGCAAGUUGCGGCUUAUAUCUUCGCAUUGACAGCUGAUGGUCUUGUUUGGAAACCAUCUGAAGCUGCAGAAUAUCGAGCUAUAGAAGUUGCUUUUGUUAAGGUUGUUGGUGUCGCUGUUUUACAGGGGCUCCAGUCAUAUCUUCUGGCUCAACCAGUUACUUGUUUCAGCCGGCCACUACGUAUACACAACGUGCCUAUAUAUAAACGCUUUCGCAGAAAAUCAAGGUGGAGCGGCCGCACCACCUCGCCCUACCGGCUCCUCCGCCCUGCCACAUUUCUGACAGCAUGUGUCAAUAACGAAGGAGAAGCACCAAUGACGAAUGCUCCACCAAUGAACCUGGUCAUGAGCAAGCGUUGCUGCAAUGAUCAUGCCCCCCCUAAGCUAGAGAUAUGCAAGCGUGUUGUCUUAGUCUUGGAGUUGGCUUAUAUCUUCAAAUUACCGGCUAAUGGUCUUGUUUGGAAACCAUACGGAGCUGCAGAAUAUCGUCGCUGGAAGGAGAAGCGGCCGCGGCGGUGCACGAAUGACAGGCUCACCAUAUACUCUGCUGAUGAGCUUGGAUUCGGCAAGGCCUACGCCAAGGGCACUGCUCUCUGCCCUUUCGACUGCGACUGCUGCUUCUGA